AACGGCGAGCGAACGGGGAACAGCCCAUCGCCUACACCACCGCCACGUCGGCGGAGCGGAUAUUUGGCGUAUAGGAGAGACGCUUCCGGGCACCGAUUCCGGUGCAAGUCCCCCUGACUGGGGCUCUUACCCCGAGAGGGUGCAAGGCCCGUAGCUGCCGGAUGGCCGUCCCGGAUGUCCUCUCCUGGGAGUCGGGUUGCUUGAGAGUGCAGCCCUAAUCAGGUGGUAAACUCCAUCUAAGGCUAAAUACGACCUGGAGACCGAUAGCGAACAAGUACCGUGAGGGAAAGUUGAAAAGGACUUUGAAGAGAGAGUUCAAGAGUACGUGAAACCGUUCGGAGGUAAACGAGUGGGCCCUCGAAGGCGAUAGGCGGGGGGACUCAGCCGAAGGCCGAGAGCCUGCCGGUGCGUCCGCGCUUCCCUCUCAGGACGCGGCGCGUUGGUGGCUGGCUCCGGUCGGCGGCGCAUUUCUUCCCGUCCUUCGACGCUGCGACCGGUCGGGUCAUCCAGUAGGAGUCGGCCUGACUCGCGGGAGACGGCAGGUAGCCGGGACGGCGCUUCGGCGCCGACCCCGGUGUUCUAGCCUUCCCGUUUUCGAGAUGCCGUUCACCCGACCGUAGGACACGGCCCUUCGGGGCCGAGCCGCGCCCUCCCUGUCUUGGGGAUCGGUUCCGCGCUUCGGAAGGGAGGCCUCCGUUCUUCCCCCUUCUCGCAUCUUGCGACUGGGGGACGGGGGCGCCCGCUUGCCGUAGCGUUUCCGAGCGGGCGCAGGCG
rnacentral:rRNA from 1 species